AGCAUAUCAAUAAGCGGAGGAAAUAGAAACCAACCGGGAUUGCCCUAGUAACGGCGAGUGAAGCGGCAGCAGCUCAAAUUUGAAAUCUGGAGCCUUUGGCUUCCGAGUUGUAAUUUGCAGAGGGAGCCUCGGAGGGCGAGACGGUCCAAGUGCCUUGGAACAGGAUACCGCAGAGGGUGAGAGUCCCGUAUCCGGCCGAUCUUGCGCUCCGUGUGAGGCCCCUUCGACGAGUCGAGUUGUUUGGGAAUGCAGCUCCAAGCGGGUGGUAAAUUCCAUCUAAAGCUAAAUACUGGCCAGAGACCGAUAGCGAACAAGUAGAGUGAUCGAAAGAUGAAAAGCACUUUGAAAAGAGAGUCAAACAGUACGUGAAAUUGUUGAAAGGGAAGCGCAUGGGGGCAGACUUGGACGCGGGGUUCAGCGUUUCUAUUGGAGCGUGUACUUCCCCGCGUGCAGGCCAGCAUCGGUUCCGGGGGCCGGACAAAGAGGUUGGGAAUGUGGCUCCCCUCGGGGAGUGUUAUAGCCCGGCGUGCAAUGCGGCCACCUGGGACCGAGGACCGCGCCUUGUGCAAGGAUGCUGGCGUAAUGGCCUCAUGCGGCCCGUCUUGAAACACGGACCAAGGAGUCUAACAUCUAUGCGAGUGUUUGGGUGGCAAGCCCGGACGCGCAAUGAAAGUGAACGGAGGUGGGAGUCUGUUACAGGACGCACCAUCGACCGAUCCGGACGUCUUCUGAAGGAUUUGAGUAAGAGCAUAGCUGUUGGGACCCGAAAGAUGGUGAACUAUGCGUGAAUAGGGUGAAGCCAGAGGAAACUCUGGUGGAGGCUCGCAGCGGUUCUGACGUGCAAAUCGAUCGUCAAAUUUGCGUAUAGGGGGCGAAAGACUAAUCGAACCAUCUAGUAGCUGGUUCCUGCCGA
rnacentral:rRNA from 1 species